rnacentral:rRNA from 1 species
AGUGAACGCUGGCGGCGUGCCUAAUACAUGCAAGUCGAACCAAGUGGCGCCCGGGUGAGUAAUAUAUAGGUACUAUGCCCUACACAGAGGACCAACAGUUAGAAACGCCGACUAAUAACUCAUAGUGUAGGAUGAGCCUAUAUCGUAUCAGCUAGUUGGUAAGGGAAUGGAUUCCCAAGGCUAUGACGCGUAACUGGUCGUAGAGGAUGAUAAGUAACAUUUGAACGGAGACACGGUCAAAACUCCUACGGGAGGCAGCAGUAAGGAAUAUUGCGACAUGGGGGUAACCCUGACGCAGCAACGCCGCGUGGAGGAUUACUCUUGUCGGAGCGUAAACUCCUUUUAUCAGGAAAGCGGUACCUGAUCAAUAAGCACCGGCUAACUCCGGGCCAGCAGCCGCGGUAAUAC